GGACCAUCACCUGCUCCAAAGUCUGACCCACCAUUGGCUGGCCAGUGGCCAAUCAGAUAAUCUCAAUGGCAUGAACCGACAGUGGGCUGUGGGCACUGCACUGUGAUGUAACAGAACCUGGGACCUGCGGCCAUGCUGAGCUAGGACGAGAGGCAGAGGCAGAGAGAGAGAGGAGCCACCCUGAGAAGAAAGGGACCAGGUCGGAAUUCCAGGAUAGGCUUCACGGGGCUAAAAUCAAGGCAUCUGAAGGGUGGUGCUUCUCUCUGGAGGCUCCAGGGUAGAGGAAAGGUUCUCAUUCGCAUAGACUGAAGAGCACUUGCUCAGUUUGUUACCAGCUGCGAAACAGUUUCAUCAAGUCAGGAAAGACAAAGCUCAGCUCCAUAUGAUUCUAACUGCUCCUCCUUCUUUUCUCAUCCAUUUGUUCUUGACCCCCAAGAUAUGAGUUAGGGAAGCACAAUCUCUUUUUUAUUUUAUGGCCUUGUUUUCCUCGGUUGGUGUCACACCGUUAAACCGAAUGCCCAGCCCAGCCUUUAGACAUUCAGCGUAGCUGGGACUUUAAUAUCUCUGCCGAUGGAUGAGGGCAACAGCAGUCAAGAAUGUGGCUUAAAGUGAAAUCCCCUUUUCAUGAGCCCAUGAAGACAAAUGACAGGAGUCAACUGCCACCAGUCAAAUGGGCCAUUAGCAUUUUCUUUAUUUUAGAAAUAUUUCAGGUGCUUCUUUAACUGCAGCCCAGUCAGCUCGCUGGGUAUUUUGUGUGUGACAUCCUUCCGAGUCUUGCUCAGCUGUCUGAAACCAGGCCAGAGAGUGACUACAGAAGAAGUACUGUUGGAGUAAACAGACAGCAACUGGAUUGGAUUAAAUGGUUCAUUUGACAUUUAAGAGUCCCUCUGAUGCCACUCUUCAGGUUGUACUCCUGCUGAAAUGUUGUCAUGAACUUAUUCUGGCCCCUGUCUUUUGCUAAAAGUCAACUUACUUAAGAGUCAAAUUUAAAUUCGGAAGUAUUUCCAGCACAAAUUUUUGACUUCUAUUGAAAAAUCAGAAACUCUGAUCCUACUGGCCCCACCUGCCUCCAUAGAAGGAAUCAGCUGGGGAGCCAGUGCCCUUUCAGUUGGGGCCGUCCACCCACAGUCCUCACCACUCACUGUUCUCUAAAUAUAUUACAUGACUGGUCCCUGAAGUCCUCUGGAUGUGUGACCCCUUCUCACAUCUACUCAUCAAAAACAUUAAUCACUUGCUAUGUUACAAGAACUGUACUAAGCCCUGGAAAUGCAGAGAGGGACAGAACAUCAUCCUCUUACUCAAAUAACUCAGAGUCAAUCACAGGAAACGUGUAGAAAAGAGCCAGAUCUAAUCAAGUGAUAUGUGGGUCACAGCUCCAAGCUAUGAGAACCUGGAGAAGAGGCUUAUUGCAAUUGCAUUGGUCAGAGGGAAAUUCACAGGGCACAUGAUGCCUGUAAUAGGCAGAAAUAAUCUAAGCAAAGAAGCAAGGACCUUUCAUCCAGGCAUAAGGAGAAGAGUGAACUAAAAGAACAUCGUAGCAUCGUGAAACUGCAAGCAUUUCCUAACCCUCUAAUGACGCCAACCUUGGGAGCACUUAAUGGCUCAAGUGUAAUUUAAAGUAUUUUAAUACUUUUCUGUAAACCCCAGGUUAUUUAAUGCUAUCUUGUUCACUUAACUUUCUAUUUUACAGCAAUGGGCCACCCAGCUGACUACAGUUCCACAGGAACAGGGGCUGUGUUAUUCAUUUUUCAUCCACAUACGUGCUGGGCUCAUGAGGGGACCCAGCUAUGGGCUUUAACUGCUGGUAUGGCUGCCUAUCUGAGUGUGUGCGCUAAGAGGAGAAUUUCAACAAAAAUGAAGAAAAAGCAAAGGCUA